rnacentral:rRNA from 1 species
GCGCAGCAGUCGCGAAACCUCCGCAAUACACGAAAGUGUGACGGGGCCAUCCCGAGUGCCGUCCGCUGAGGACGGCUUUUCCCCAGUGUACACAGCUGGGGGAAUAAGGAGAGGGCAAGCCUGGUGUCAGCCGCCGCGGUAAUACCAGCUCUCCGAGUGGUGGGGACGCUUAUUGGGCCUAAAGCAUCCGUAGCCGGCUGGGCAAGUCCUCCGUUAAAUCCAACGAUUCAAUCGUUGGGCUGCGGGGGAUACUGUCCAGCUUGGGGGCGGGAGAGGCCGACGGUAUUCCCGGGGUAGGGGUGAAAUCCUAUAAUCCCGGGAGGACCACCAGUGGCGAAGGCUGUCGGCUAGAACGCGCCCGACGGUGAGGGGAUGAAAGCUGGGGGAGCGAACCGGAUUAGAUACCCCCGUAGU